UACGGGGGGGGCAAGCGUUGUUCGGAAUUACUGGGCGUAAAGGGCUCGUAGGUGGCCAACUAAGUCAGACGUGAAAUCCCUCGGCUUAACCGGGGAACUGCGUCUGAUACUGGAUGGCUUGAGUUCGGGAGAGGGAUGCGGAAUUCCAGGUGUAGCGGUGAAAUGCGUAGAUAUCUGGAGGAACACCGGUGGCGAAGGCGGCAUCCUGGACCGAUACUGACACUGAGGAGCGAAAGCAUGGGGAGCGAACAGG
rnacentral:rRNA from 1 species